GCCAGUGUGGUGUAGUGGUUUGAGCGUUAGACUACAAUUCUGGAAACCAGGAUUCGAAUCCUGGUUUGGCC